rnacentral:rRNA from 1 species
GAUGAACGCUAGCGGCAGGCUUAACACAUGCAAGUCGAGGGGUAUAGUUCUUCGGAAUUAGAGACCGGCGCACGGGUGCGUAACGCGUAUGCAAUCUACCUUUCACAGAGGGAUAGCCCAGAGAAAUUUGGAUUAAUACCUCAUAGUAUAUAGAGUUGGCAUCAACAUUAUAUUAAAGUCACAACGGUGAAAGAUGAGCAUGCGUCCCAUUAGUUAGUUGGUAAGGUAACGGCUUACCAAGACAACGAUGGGUAGGGGUCCUGAGAGGGAGAUCCCCCACACUGGUACUGAGACACGGACCAGACUCCUACGGGAGGCAGCAGUGAGGAAUAUUGGACAAUGGGCGCAAGCCUGAUCCAGCCAUGCCGCGUGCAGGAUGACGGUCCUAUGGAUUGUAAACUGCUUUUAUACGAGAAGAAACAACUCUACGUGUAGAGUCUUGACGGUAUCGUAAGAAUAAGGAUCGGCUAACUCCGUGCCAGCAGCCGCGGUAAUACGGAGGAUCCAAGCGUUAUCCGGAAUCAUUGGGUUUAAAGGGUCCGUAGGCGGUCAGAUAAGUCAGUGGUGAAAGCCCAUCGCUCAACGGUGGAACGGCCAUUGAUACUGUCUGACUUGAAUUAUUAGGAAGUAACUAGAAUAUGUAGUGUAGCGGUGAAAUGCUUAGAGAUUACAUGGAAUACCAAUUGCGAAGGCAGGUUACUACUAAUUGAUUGACGCUGAUGGACGAAAGCGUGGGUAGCGAACAGGAUUAGAUACCCUGGUAGUCCACGCCGUAAACGAUGGAUACUAGCUGUUGGGAGCAAUCUCAGUGGCUAAGCGAAAGUGAUAAGUAUCCCACCUGGGGAGUACGUUCGCAAGAAUGAAACUCAAAGGAAUUGACGGGGGCCCGCACAAGCGGUGGAGCAUGGUGGGUUUAAUUCGAUGAUACGCGAGGAACCUUACCAAGGCUUAAAUGUAGAUUGACCGGUUUGGAAACAGACUUUUCGCAAGACAAUUACAAGGUGCUGCAUGGUUGUCGUCAGCUCGUGCCGUGAGGUGUCAGGUUAAGUCCUAUAACGAGCGCAACCCCUGUUGUUAGUUGCCAGCGAGUCAUGUCGGGAACUCUAACAAGACUGCCAGUGCAAACUGUGAGGAAGGUGGGGAUGACGUCAAAUCAUCACGGCCCUUACGCCUUGGGCUACACACGUGCUACAAUGGCCGGUACAGAGAGCAGCCACUGGGCGACCAGGAGCGAAUCUACAAAACCGGUCACAGUUCGGAUCGGAGUCUGCAACUCGACUCCGUGAAGCUGGAAUCGCUAGUAAUCGGAUAUCAGCCAUGAUCCGGUGAAUACGUUCCCGGGCCUUGUACACACCGCCCGUCAAGCCAUGGAAGCUGGGGGUGCCUGAAGUCGGUGACCGCAAGGAGCUGCCUAGGGUAAAACUGGUAACUAGGGCUAAGUCGUAACAAGGUAGCCGUACCGGAAG